AGCAGCCGCGGUAAUUCCAGCUCCAAUAGCGUAUAUUAAAGUUGUUGCAGUUAAAAAGCUCGUAGUUGAAUUUCGGGGUUAGUAGGUUGGUCAUGCCUCUGGUAUGUACUGGUCUCACUGAUUCCUCCUUCCUGAUGAGCCGUAAUGCCAUUAAUUUGGUGUUGCGGGGAAUUUGGACUGUUACUUUGAAAAAUUGAGUGUUUAAAGCAAGCUAACGCUUGAAUACAUUAGCAUGGAAUAAUGAAAUAGGACGUUCGAUCCUAUUUGUGGUUCUAGGAUUGACGUAAUGAUUAAUAGGGAUAGUUGGGGCAUUAGUAUUCAAUUGUCAGAGGUGAAAUUCUUGGAUUUAUUGAAGACUAACUACUG
rnacentral:rRNA from 1 species